CGAGAAUUAGUAUGGGUAGGUAGGUGUACAUUUGAUUCCAAAAUUUUUCACGUGUAUAAGGUUACGAACAAAAGAUCCGAUAUAAACUGCGCGCAUACCGCUUUAUAAACCUACUAUUCUACCGUGUUGUUGGCUGAAGUUUGCCAUUUUUGACUUUUAAUCAUUAACGUAAUAAUGUCUCCGUGAUUUUAGUAGCCAAAACUGACUUCGGUGGACAGCGUAAACAGAUAUUACGGUAAGUAUAACUGUUACUUAUAAUACAUUUUUAUGCGAGUGGCCGACGAGAAAGAACGGAGGACACUGCAAGGACUCAGGUGGUCGAUAAUAGUGACGAAUCGCCGAAAAAAAAAACAAAUCAAAAAUCAAGUGUCAUUAUUUUGAAUAGGUAAAAAUAUUACGCAAAAA